rnacentral:rRNA from 1 species
ACUUGGUUGAUCCUGCCAAUAGUCAUAUGCUUGUCUCAAAGAUUAAGCCAUGUAUGUGUUAGUAUGAACUAUUACAGACUGUGAAACUGCAAAUGGCUCAUUAAAUCAGUUAUAGUUUGUUUGAUGGUACGUGCUACUCGGAUAACCAUAGUAAUUCUAGAGCUAAUACGUGCAAAAAACCCUGACAUCCGAAAGGGAUGCAUUUAUUAGAUAAAAGGCUGAUGCGGGCUUUGCUCGUUGCUCUGAUGAUUCAUGAUAACUCGACGGAUCGCACGGCCCUCGUGCCGGUGACGCAUCAUUCAAAUUUCUGCCCUAUCAAUAUUCGACUGUAGGAUAGGGGCCUACCAAGGUGGUGACGGGUGAUGGAGAAUUAGGGUUCGAUUCUGAAUAGGGAGCCUGAGAAACGACUACCACAUCCAAGGAAGGCAGUAGGUGCGCCUUUCUUGAUUCUAUGGGUGGUGGUGCAUGGUCGUUCUUAGUUGGUGGAGCGAUUUGUCUGGUUAAUUCCGAUAACGAACGAGACCUCAGCCUGCUAACUAGCUACGCGGAGGCAUCCCUCCGCGGCCAGCUUUGCUUCUUAGAGGGACUAUGGCGGUUUAGGCCGCGAAAGUUUGAGGCAAUAACAGGUCUAUGAUGCCCUUAGAUGUUCUAGGUUGCACGCGUGCUACACUGAUGUAUUCAACGAGUUUAUAGCCUUGGCCAACAGGCCCAGGUAAUCUUUGAAAAUUUCAUCAUGAUGGGGAUAAAUCAUUGCAAUUGUUGGUUUUCAAUGAGGAAUUCCUAGUAGCGUGAGUCAUCAGCUUGCGUUGACUACGUCCCUGCCCAUUGUACACACCGCCUGUCGCUCCUACCGAUUGAAUGGUCCGGUGAAGUGUUCGGAUCGAGGCAACGGGGGUAGUUCGUCGCCCGCGACAUCGUGAGAAGUUCACUGAACCUUAUCAUUUAAAGGAAGGAGAAGUUGUAACAAGGUUUAUGUAGGUGAACCUAUGGAAG